rnacentral:tRNA from 1 species
GAGGGUAGAGCUCAGUGGCAGAGCACAUGCUUAGCAUGCACAAGGUCCUGGGUUCAAUCCCCAGUACCUCCA